rnacentral:rRNA from 1 species
UGGGGAAUAUUGCACAAUGGGCGCAAGCCUGAUGCAGCCAUGCCGCGUGUGUGAAGAAGGCCUUCGGGUUGUAAAGCACUUUCAGCGGGGAGGAAGGCGGUGAGGUUAAUAACCUCAUCGAUUGACGGUACCCGCAGAAGAAGCACCGGCUAACUCCGUGCCAGCAGCCGCGGUAAUACGGAGGGUGCAAGCGUUAAUCGGAAUUACUGGGCGUAAAGCGCACGCAGGCGGUCGGUCAAGUCGGAUGUGAAAUCCCCGGGCUCAACCUGGGAACUGCAUUUGAAACUGGCAGGCUAGAGUCUUGUAGAGGGGGGUAGAAUUCCAGGUGUAGCGGUGAAAUGCGUAGAGAUCUGGAGGAAUACCGGUGGCGAAGGCGGCCCCCUGGACAAAGACUGACGCUCAGGUGCGAAAGCGUGGGGAGCAAACAGG